AUGUUGGUAUCUUAGUGGCGGACGGGUGAGUAACGCGUGGGUAACCUGCCUUACACUGGGGGAUAACACUUAGAAAUAGGUGCUAAUACCGCAUAACAGGGAAAGAUGCAUGUCUUUUCCUUAAAAACUCCGGUGGUGUAAGAUGGACCCGCGUCUGAUUAGCUAGUUGGUGGGGCAACGGCCCACCAAGCCGACGAUGCGUAGGGGUUCUGAGAGGAAGGUCCCCCACAUUGGAACUGAGACACGGUCCAAACUCCUACGGGAGGCAGCAG
rnacentral:rRNA from 1 species